rnacentral:rRNA from 1 species
CCUACGGAUGGCUGCAGUGGGGAAUAUUGGACAAUGGGGGGAACCCUGAUCCAGCCAUGCCGCGUGUGUGAAGAAGGCCCUCGGGUUGUAAAGCACUUUCAGUGAGGAAGAACGCCUGGUGGUUAAUACCCAUCAGGAAAGACAUCACUCACAGAAGAAGCACCGGCUAACUCCGUGCCAGCAGCCGCGGUAAUACGGAGGGUGCGAGCGUUAAUCGGAAUUACUGGGCGUAAAGCGCGCGUAGGUGGCUUGAUAAGCCGGUUGUGAAAGCCCCGGGCUCAACCUGGGAACGGCAUCCGGAACUGUCAAGCUAGAGUGCAGGAGAGGAAGGUAGAAUUCCCGGUGUAGCGGUGAAAUGCGUAGAGAUCGGGAGGAAUACCAGUGGCGAAGGCGGCCUUCUGGACUGACACUGACCCUGAGGUGCGAAAGCGUGGGUAGCAAACAGGAUUAGAUACCCGGGUAGUC